AUGAGACUUAUUCACUACCAUGAGAACAGCAGAUGAAAGACCUGCCCUCAUGAUUUACCUCUCACCAGUUUCCUCCCAUGAUACAUGGGAAUUUUGGGAGUUACAAUUCAAAAUGAGAUUUGGGUGGGGACACAGCCAAACCAUAUCAAAGACC